UUGAAAUAAACCUGAUGGGUUGUUGCUGGUUCUCUAGGGAGCAUGUGCACGCCUUGUCAUCUUUAUAUCUCCACCUGUGCACCUUUUGUAGACCCUGGAUAUUUUUUCAUGGUCUAUGUUGCUUCUUCAUUUACCCCAAUGUAUGUUAAUAGAAUGUAUAUGCCUAUGAAAUCUAUA
rnacentral:misc_RNA from 1 species